rnacentral:lncRNA from 1 species
AUGGCUUCUGCCCCAAGUGCGUGCUCUGGGCUUCAUCACUUCCGAGGAGCACUUGAAGCUCUGGCCACCGGUGUCACACAGGCACCCGACAAAGGCCCGCGAAGGAUGAUGAGAAAGCGUGGAAACGGCAAAGGACAAGAACGCUGCCCACAAAGGAAGCAGCAGCAGGAGGCGCAUCCUCGGGCUCCUUGCCGUGGUGGCCAGCCUUUUGGGAGCAAGGAUGGGACGGCGCAGCGACCCACCCGGGCCGGCAGGCCACACCGCUGCGGUUGGAAUACUGCCAAGGCCACGUGUCCCGGGAUCUCACAUCUAGGGUACAGAUCAGCUCUUCCCUGGCCAGUGGCAUUGUGACUGUUUCUGCCACUCUGUGGCUGCAACCCAUAGACCACGUGAUGAGAAAAGAAAGGCUUCGGAGCCCAUCCACAUGAGGAAUCAGAAGGACACGGUCACAGAAGGCAAGAUGGGAUCCUGAGCUGGAGGGGACAGUGCCACCAAGGACAGUCAUGUGUCACUUCUCUGUUACUUGAACUUGGUAAGUGUCCUGUACUGUGGUUUUGUGAGAGGAUAUGCCUGAGGUGUUAGGUACCAAAGGACACCAGGCUUGCAAACCACUCUGAGGUCAGGAACAAAGAAUUUGUACAGAUGUUAAAAAAAAAAAUUAAAAGUGUACAUUUCUUCCAUGUGAUGCCAGCUGGUGAUUUCUUCCUACUCCCCUCCAUUUUCCAAUUUCUCUACAAUAUACUCUAUUGAUACAAUAGGAAAAAUGGGUUGUGUCAAAAGUUUGAUCAAAAAUAAAAAGACAUUCUAACAAAGACAGGUAAAAUAAGACAUUUAUAAGCUUGAAAACUGGAGUUGGGUCUGGUGGUGCAGGGAUAUAUAACUCUAACAUUCUGGGUGGCUGAGGCAGAAGGGUCCCAACUUCAAGCCCAGCCUGGGCAGCUUAAUGACUUAGGGCGACCCUGUCUCAAAAUUAAAAAAUAUGUGCUGGGGACAUAGCUCAGUGUGGAGGCUUUGGGUUCAAUGCUUAGUAUCGCAAAAAGUGUGCGUGCGUGCGUGCGUGCGUGCGUGCGUUUCAUUUCUAAGCCUCAGGCAUAUUUGGAGUAUGUCAAGCCCAUGUGGAUGGAGGACAGUGCA